CCGCGCGCCCCGUUCUCCAGAGAAACAAUCCCCGGAGAGAAAGACGGCCAGUGUGAAAUAUCAGCUGUUUCACAAAUUCUGAGAGAGCUGUAUUAUUGUCAUUUCACUGGAAUGAAUUCACCUACUGAUUAUUGAUUUAGAACUUCAUGCAAGAGUGGGGACCAGACCCAAGAUCACCACGUAAAACUGAGAUUAAGUUCACAGGUCUUCAGAUUGAGAGGAUUUGUACCCAAAUAGCUGUACUUAAGGAACUACAACUGAGGACCCUCAUCCGCAUCUGGACUUGAUGUAAAUGAUGGGAUUUGGACUUACAGCUGAUGCUUGAAUGGGAUGAGACUUUUGGUGGCCUUGGAAGAUGGUGAGUAUCUUUUACAUAUGGGAAGAAUGUAAAUAAUUUGUGGUCAGAGGGUGGAUUUUGGUGGUUUUAAAAAUAUGUCCACAAAU